GGUAUUUUCUCCAUGGCCAUAAACCAGAAGCAACAAUGCAGAUUUCUAAAGAAACUGUAUCAAGCUAUCCAAGAGAUUUUUUUUUUUUUCAUUCUGAAGGUUCAAGAUACAGGCACAAGAAGCAUCAGGGAUGGGAACUGGGUGUGUGGGGAUGGACAUCAUUAACAUGACAAACACAGAAACAGUUUGGUUCUUUUUCCCUCCUAAGCCUUUGUCUGUGAAAUGGGGUUAUGGCAAGAAGUGUCCAGAGUAACUGGUAAAUUCAAGAAGAUUAAGAAGACUUCGUGUGUGGGGGGUGUGUGUGUGUGGCUAAAAAGGAUAUCAGACCUAGAGUCUUGGUCUUGGGCAGAAGAGGAAGAGAAGCAAUCGCGCCUUUUCCAGCAGACAGGGAUCAAGGUUGGGGGGGAGGGGAAGGCAGGCAGGCCUCCCAGAGGAAAGAAGAGGUGAAUACGAGUGUGUUCACAAAACUACUCCCCAUUCAUUACAUUAAAAAAAAAUCUUUUUGCAGCUCUCUGGAUUUCCAUUUUCUACCACCUUACUGCAAAGUUGGGGCUCAGAAUGUUCGAAAGAGGUGCUGACCAGGCAGCUGAGAUUGGGGAAAAGGGAUGGUGGUGAACUGUGGUCAGGAUAAGAGGAAAGCUGGCAGGUUGGGGAAGAAGGAUUGCACAGGGGAGGCAAAGACUCACUCCAUGCCAUGCAUGCUCCCCGCCCCCCCCAACCCCGUCCCCCCUCCCCCAGGUAAGGGUGGGCAGACCUGGCAGAAGGCUGGUUCAAGGCAUGGGGGUGUGCGUGGGGGGGCUCCUUUUGGGGGUGGGGGGCGGACGGGAUUAGUUCCAGGAUGGGAGAAGCUCGGUUCUGGCUGGGGGAGAUGCCCUUAGCUGCAAAAGCUCCGGGCGGCCAGGCAGAGUGCUGGCCUCGGUGGGCUCACAGGGCGGAGAAGGGGGUCGGGCUGCAGGAGGAGGCGCCUGGACCUCCGGAGCAGAGUCGGGUAGCGGUCCGUGCCGGGACGGGGGACCCGUCGGCGCCGGGACAAUACAAGCGCCUCGGACCGAGUCCCCGAACCUGCCCUAGCCAAAAUGGCGGCCGAGAAAGAGCGGAAGUGACACAGGGUCUCACUCUGUUGUCCAGGCAUGAUCACAGCUCACUGCAGCCUUGACCUCCCAGACUCAAGUGAACCUCCCACCUCAGCCUCCCAAGUAGCUGGGACCACAGGUGAGUGCCACCACACCCAGCUUUUUUUAUAUUUUUGUAGAGACAGGAUCUCCCUAUGUUCCCUAGGCUGGUCUCAAAUGCCUGUGCUCAAGCCAUCCUCUUGCCUUGGCCUCCCAAAGUGCUGGGAUUAUAGACAUGGGCCAUUGUGCUGGGCCUCAAUUUCUUCAGCAGCCAAGUUAAGCCAGGAAAAUGUAGUAAUUAGGAAUACUGUUCAAUAAAUAAUUUAGAGACACCUCUUACUUUUAUUUCCAGAAGAAAGUCAACUUAAACUUACUUGCUCAAAGCAUGCCCUUACUCAAAUUUUAAAAGAUACUACAUGACCAUAACCUAUGCUACAGUUAGAAAUUAACUGAUCUCUUCUGAAAUACCUACUUUAGAGAAAGUGGGUAAACAUAAUAUUUGCCCUGGCUUUAUUGGAUAGCUUAGCCCAAAUUUUAACUGGCAGAACACUUUUCUAAAUGGAGAGAAGAGCUUAAGGCAGAGAUUUUUCAAAUUAGUAGGGAUGUGAGCUUUGCUGAGGGUCUUUAAAUAAUAUGAAAACAAGUCUUUUGAGAAAAAAAUUGUUAUAUAAUUCAGUAAGAUGUUUAAAAAUUACUGUAGCAGCUAAGUUUCUGCCUCAGUGUCAUUAAUAUUUUUCCUUACUGAUAGAGGUUAUUGCUCAAAAGAGAAAAAAACGGCUAUGUAAUCAACUGCUGUCAAAUUGUUUCCCAAUUCACAAUAUGCAUUUUAAAUAGACCUGCUUUGAUAGAUGAAAUGUUUCAUCAAUUCAACAGCUGAAAAGAACCGAACUGUAAAUGCCUGCUCUAAAUGUAUUUUCUAGUUUAAGAAAUUUGAGAUACAUUUUUAAGGAAAGGGCAGAGGUGUGUAUUUCUUUUUCAAUUCAUACAGACACAGCCAUAAACAUUUCAUCAGUUAACAUUAUCUUACUUCUGAGAUCAAUUAGGUAUAAAGAUCUAUGAUUCCAGUUUUUAAAAAGACUAUUUCAAAUUAUUCCCCAUGUAAAAAAUUCUACAUUCACAUACUCUAAUGAAGGCAGCAAUACUUUAUGCAAAAAAAAAUAUACAUUUAUUUAUAGGUCUCAAUACAGCAAAAUGAAAACGAAAAUUGAGAA
rnacentral:lncRNA from 1 species